rnacentral:rRNA from 1 species
GCGCACGCUGGCGGCAGGCCUAACACAUGCCAGUCGCACGAACUCUUCGGAGUUAGUGGCGGACGGGUGAGUAACACGUGGGAACGUGCCUUUAGGUUCGGAAUAACUCAGGGAAACUUGUGCUAAUACCGAAUGUGCCCUUCGGGGGAAAGAUUUAUCGCCUUUAGAGCGGCCCGCGUCUGAUUAGCUAGUUGGUGAGGUAAAGGCUCACCAAGGCGACGAUCAGUAGCUGGUCUGAGAGGAUGAUCAGCCACAUUGGGACUGAGACACGGCCCAAACUCCUACGGGAGGCAGCAGUGGGGAAUCUUGCGCAAUGGGCGAAAGCCUGACGCAGCCAUGCCGCGUGAAUGAUGAAGGUCUUAGGAUUGUAAAAUUCUUUCACCGGGGACGAUAAUGACGGUACCCGGAGAAGAAGCCCCGGCUAACUUCGUG